AGGAUAUGAAUUAUUGCCCGGCCUCUUUUAAAUAAUUGAUUGUCACCUGCUACAGAAUGGAUGCUACAGUGCCAUCUCCUCUUCAUCCCUGUCUCCAGCAAAACAAGCUCCUGGUCAAACACAAUAACUUUUAUUUUAGCACCAAUGUGUUUUUUUUUCACUAUGAUCUUUCCAGAAACUUGCCUUGUGCUGAGCAACUUCCUUGUCUCCUGAAUAACAUGAUACCAAGCCCAGGACAGAACAGCCAGCCAGAUGAGCCAUUUUGCCUGCUUCACACCAUGGUCACGGGAAGACCCUGAUUCAAAGUGCCAGACAGGAGGGGUGGUUGCAAGAAGAAGUGCAAGGAUGAAGCUCUGACAACAAAAAGGGGCCAUACUGGAGAUCCAGAAAGCAAAUGCUUGACAGCCUGAAAUCAGGCUCCUCUAAAGGUGUGCAUUUAUACCCCCAAUAUGUUGUUUUAUUGGAUUAUUCAUGAGUCUAAUAAUAUGCAAAGAUUCGUCUGCAGAGACUAGUACUUAUGCUGGGUUGGUUGAUGGAUGUGUGUGACUGUUUUUCAUUGUUUCUUUUGACUCUGCUGAGAUGAUGUUGGAGUGUCUACAGGGAUAAAGAUGUGAUGUCUGAUGAAAAGCAUUUGCAAUCAAAUUUGAGACUUGAUAAUGAAGGAUGGCAAGACAACACAAUAAAUAGAUGUAAGCCGAACA
rnacentral:lncRNA from 1 species